UAUUUAUCUGUGGAUUGAGCUGAGAGAGAGAGAGUUUUCACCAUCUCCUUUCUCUCUCUCUCACUCUAGGCCGGUUGGGAGCACGGUUGAGCCGGGGAUUCGCCGACGUCGCGCCGCGAGCCGUUCGAGCGAGCGUUUGUUGCCGGGGCAUUGCGAAGAGGCCGGGCGAGGGUGCGUCUUCGCCGUCCUGGACAUCGCGCCGAGGAUUGUCGCUGUUGAGAAUCUACCGUCGACUGUUAGUAUUUCGGCUCGUUCUCCGCGUAGGAGCGUCGGAUCGCGACGAAACUUGGUUCAUUGGAUUCUAGACUGCGAGAGGAUUCCACGGAGCCCUCACUUGCAAUUUUUGGACGAGCUCGGCGACCGGUCUAGGUGGUCCCUGAGGAAUCCAGCAGCAUCGCGGGUGGCCGAGGCUGAGUUCGCUGCCAGGAAAUUGCACUUGAGGUGGGUUACAUCGGUUUUAUCUCCUAAGUUCAU